rnacentral:lncRNA from 1 species
UAUAUAUGUUUAUUGUUAUUAAAAAUGUAGAUAAGUUAUAUGCUAAUAGUUGCUGAAACAGUAUAUACAUAUUUUAUAUAUUAAUUGUUGCUCAAAGUUUAAUAUUUUUUAUGUAAAUAGAGGCUGAAAGCGUAAAUAUUUUAUUUGUUGCUUAAACAGUAAUUGAUGCUGUUACUGUGUGUAUUUGAUGUGUGUUUGUUUAAUCUACACUGACUAGUCACUAGAUGCAUUAGGGGGCAGGGUUGAUAUCUCACAAAACAAGUUUAACCCCACCAAAUUUUGGUUCAUAUAUAUGUUUCAGAGUUAAGUGUGACAUCCUUAUUUGCUGAACUAGUUUUUAUUUUUGAUAAGGGCCUAGCUGAAACUGGCAUCAGAGUGUUGGAUUAUCUCACUGUGUUGAAACCCUGAGGUUGUUGUCUAUUUGACUUAUUCAACAUUUCCAAUUUUCCAUUUUAUUUUUUUAAUUGAAAUGAUUUUGAAAAAAAGUAUUUAACAGUUUCUUAUCUGUAUUUCAUCUUUCAAACACAAUCCCUUGGUACAUAUUAAAAAUUAAUCUUUUUUCUAAACUUAGUGUCGCAUAAAUAGCUGUAUUUGUAUUACUGGUAUUAUUAGAUUUGACGAUUAUUAAUUAUAAUUUUUUUAACAAAAAAUA